GCCCGUAUGGCGCAGUGGUUAACGCACUCCACUUGUACUAAUAAGUGCAUGGAGAGAUCCCUCGUUCGACUCGGGGUGCGGGCA
rnacentral:tRNA from 1 species